CCUACGGGUGGCAGCAGUGGGGAAUAUUGGGCAAUGGGCGCAAGCCUGACCCAGCAACGCCGCGUGAAGGAAGAAGGCUUUCGGGUUGUAAACUUCUUUUCUCAGGGACGAAGAAAGUGACGGUACCUGAGGACUAAGCCACGGCUAACUACGUGCCAGCAGCCGCGGUAAUACGUAGGUGGCAAGCGUUAUCCGGAUUUACUGGGAGUAAAGGGCGUGUAGGCGGGACUGCAAGUCAGAUGUGAAAACCACGGGCUCAACCUGUGGCCUGCAUUUGAAACUGUAGGUGUUGAGUACUGGAGAGGCAGACGGAAUUCCUAGUGUAGCGGUGAAAUGCGUAGAGAUGAGGAGGAACACCAGUGGCGAAGGCGGUCUGCUGGACAGCAACUGACGCUGAGGCGCGAAAGCGUGGGGAGCAAACAGGAUUAGAUACCCUGGUAGUC
rnacentral:rRNA from 1 species